rnacentral:rRNA from 1 species
GACCUGGCUGGGCGGUCCGCUUAACGGCGUGUACUGUCUGGCUGGGCCUUACUUCUUGGUGAGCCGGUGUGCCCUUUAUUGGUGUGCAUCGGGGAACCAGGACUUUUACCUUGAAAAAAUUAGAGUGUUUAAAGCAGGCGUUUGCUUGAAUACAUUAGCAUGGAAUAAUGGAAUAGGGCU